rnacentral:piRNA from 1 species
UAGGUGUCUCCUUCCCAUCUCAACGGAAAG